ACUUAGAUAGUUUAAUUAGAAUAAUAAUUUGUGGUGUUAGAGGUAAAGGUUUUUCUAGGUU
rnacentral:tRNA from 1 species